AAGGACAGAAGAUAUAAAAUCUACUAAUUUAGUGUUUACAUAAGUGACAUCUGAAACCGGGGAUGUUGAUGCAUUUUCGAAAUCUCCAGGUGAUGUUAAGAUAUCACCAUCGUCCUGCUUCAGUGGGAUAAAGGAAUACUCGACUUGUUGCUUCGAUUUCUCAUUUUGAAUUUCUAAAGCAGAUAGUAAUGUCUCCACAUUAUCAUCCUUUUUAAAUACUUUUAAUUUUUUUUCUGUGGGAAUUGGUUUUGCUGAUGUUUCAUCCUUAAAAUCAUAAUCUUCAUAAACUCUUUUAUUCGCCUGGCUGUCCGAUGUUAAAUUCGACAAUUGCUCUUCAAACUCAGUCCCUUUAAAUAUCACUUCAGGAAGUUCAGACAACAUUUGGUUUUUUUUUAUAUGUAAAAAGCGAUUAUAUUGCAAAUCGCGACUUAGUUAGAUGUUGGCUGCUUCUGCUUGCUAUACAAACUCAUUUUAUUACUCUUUUUUUAGGUGCCACAGGCUCGUCGUUAUUCGAUUACCGUAUUAGUGUUCAUGUUUACGCAUUUCCUUCUAUUAGCGCUAUUAAGAACUUAAAGUAUUUUACAGGAACAGCAGAUACUCAGUUCCUUUAAACUCCAUAGUAUCAUAAUCGUCUAAUUUUCGAAUGGAAUCAAUACUUUUUAAGAACUGUCGAUAUACGCUCUUCAGACUAAAACCAAAUUAUUUCAAUUUUUAAAAGAUUAUUAUUAUUAUUACACGAUCAUGAAAAAAUGAAUUAUACAAAGCUAUACAGAACAUUGUACCGAUUUGGCCACCAGUCCUGAAGCUAGAAGAUUUAAUGAAGCAAUGCUCAACUAAUGUUUAAUGAUAAACACAGAGGAAAACAAGUAGUAUCGCGAAGACACUUGCACGCACUUUUAAGAGCACACAUUCAUCA